GUCAAUAACCCCGGCCUGAAGGCUGCCUGAAGGCCGAGGCUUGCUGAGGAGCAUCUCACAAGUCUGAGAUUGACCAGACCGAGCGCCUUAUGGCGCUACGUUUUGCAGAAGACAGCAGACCCACCGGCGAAUGCUUCACUCAGUUCGCCGCUCUGGAAGUCGCAGCAGCAGACAAGCCCCGGGUAGGUACGAAACGGGCUGCGACCGAAGCGAAAGCUUCACCUGCUGCACAACAUUGUCGAGGGGAGAUAUCC
rfam:Burkholderia sp. STM 7183 genome assembly, contig: CYGY01000008